GUUCAGGGGUAAACCUAAGAAACCCAAAAGAACGAACGGGGAGAUUCAUCGUCAGCAACGUUGGCUUCGCGUCGGUGGGCGAUGUCACGCGGGGCCUCGAGGCUCGCGCGCUGACACGCUGCCGUGCGUACGAUGUCCGGCGUUCGUCGUCGUGCACUUCUCCCCUAAUAGAACGUCGCGACCCGCUGGGUGUCUGUCUACGGCCCGGGUGCGGUGACUGACGAGUCGCCGGUAAAACGGUACGCGUCAAACCCUCGGUCGCCCGGCCGGCUGCCCGGCGGUACACGCAAGGUAUCAGGCAGCACACGCAUUAGUCGAGUGCGUCGAGGCCGUCGCAAGCGCGCGCCACGGUACACGGAGAUACGGACCUAGCGCCGUCACCGGUCCUGGCCCGCUGUUGGUCGUACGGUUAACCUUCGACAGGCUUACGAACGUCCCCUGUCCGCGUUCGCGCGCGGGUCACGAGGACCGAUACCGGUCGGCGACGCUACUGCUUUGGGUACUCUUA
rnacentral:rRNA from 1 species